UGGGGAAUAUUGGACAAUGGGCGAAAGCCUGAUCCAGCCAUGCCGCGUGUGUGAAGAAGGUCUUCGGAUUGUAAAGCACUUUAAGUUGGGAGGAAGGGCAGUUACCUAAUACGUGAUUGUUUUGACGUUACCGACAGAAUAAGCACCGGCUAACUCUGUGCCAGCAGCCGCGGUAAUACAGAGGGUGCAAGCGUUAAUCGGAAUUACUGGGCGUAAAGCGCGCGUAGGUGGUUAGUUAAGUUGGAUGUGAAAUCCCCGGGCUCAACCUGGGAACUGCAUUCAAACUGACUGACUAGAGUAUGGUAGAGGGUGGUGGAAUUUCCUGUGUAGCGGUGAAAUGCGUAGAUAUAGGAAGGAACACCAGUGGCGAAGGCGACCACCUGGACUGAUACUGACACUGAGUGCGAAAGCGUGGGGAGCAAACAGGAUUAGAUACCCUGGUAGUCCACGCCGUAAACGAUGUCAACUAGCCGUUGGGAGCCUUGAGCUCUUAGUGGCGCAGCUAACGCAUUAAGUUGACCGCCUGGGGAGU
rnacentral:rRNA from 1 species